GCAAUCGAAAAUUAAUUAAGUAAUUGAUCAGUCGUGCCUAUUACUGAACCGGUGCGAUGUCUCCUAAUAUAUUUUGGUGUUUUCUAUUCAGUGUAUCGUAUAUAAAAUACAAUUUUGUUAGUAAACGUCUAUCGAAUUUCACGAAUAAAAAACGAAUGUCCAGUCGUAAACCGAAAUAUAAUAACACUAAUGGACACGAGAUGUGAAUUUCUCCCAAAACAUCAAAGGCGUUCGAAGAAUCAUGUAUAGCUAUAGUUACCAACUAAUACAUCUUAAGAGUUUACAAAACAAAAAGAGUUUAUGCUGGGAACUGGUGCGCCACUCUUGUAGGU